rnacentral:rRNA from 1 species
UACGGGGGGGGCAAGCGUUGUUCGGAAUUACUGGGCGUAAAGGGCUCGUAGGCGGCCAACUAAGUCAGACGUGAAAUCCCCAGGCUCAACCUGGGAACUGCGUCUGAUACUGGAUGGCUUGAAUUCGGGAGAGGGAUGCAGAAUUCCAGGUGUAGCGGUGAAAUGCGUAGAUGUCUGGAGGAAUACCGGUGGCGAAGGCGGCAUCCUGGACCGACAUUGACGCUGAGGAGCGAAAGCUAGGGGAGCAAACGGG